rnacentral:rRNA from 1 species
UACGGAGGGUGCGAGCGUUAUCCGGAAUCACUGGGUUUAAAGGGUGCGUAGGCGGCCCGCUAAGUCAGGGGUGAAAUCCCGCCGCUCAACGGUGGAACUGCCCAUGAUACUGGCGGGCUCGAAUGGGCGCGAGGCAGGCGGAAUGUGGCAUGUAGCGGUGAAAUGCUUAGAUAUGCCAUAGAACACCGAUUGCGAAGGCAGCCUGCCAGAGCCCGAUUGACGCUGAGGCACGAAAGCGUGGGGAGCGAACAGG